rnacentral:rRNA from 1 species
UUUAAUGAGAGUUUGAUCCUGGCUCAGGACGAACGCUGGCGGCGUGCCUAAUACAUGCAAGUAGAACGCUGAGGUUUGGUGUUUACACUAGACUGAUGAGUUGCGAACGGGUGAGUAACGCGUAGGUAACCUGCCUCAUAGCGGGGGAUAACUAUUGGAAACGAUAGCUAAUACCGCAUAAGAGUAAUUAACACAUGUUAGUUAUUUAAAAGGAGCAAUUGCUUCACUGUGAGAUGGACCUG